rnacentral:rRNA from 1 species
GACGAACGCUGGCGGCGUGCUUAACACAUGCAAGUCGUACGGUAAGGCCCUUUCGGGGGUACACGAGUGGCGAACGGGUGAGUAACACGUGAGUAACCUGCCCACAACUUUGGGAUAACGCUAGGAAACUGGUGCUAAUACUGGAUAUGUGCUCCUGCUGCAUGGUGGGGGUUGGAAAGCUCCGGCGGUUGUGGAUGGACUCGCGGCCUAUCAGCUUGUUGGUGGGGUAGUGGCCUACCAAGGCGGCGACGGGUAGCCGGCCUGAGAGGGUGACCGGCCACAUUGGGGCUGAGAUACGGCCCAGACUCCUACGGGAGGCAGCAGUGGGGAAUAUUGCACAAUGGGCGCAAGCCUGAUGCAGCAACGCCGCGUGCGGGAUGACGGCCUUCGGGUUGUAAACCGCUUUCAGCAGGGACGAAGCUUUUUGUGACGGUACCUGCAGAAGAAGCACCGGCUAACUACGUG